GCCGUUGGCAGUGAAGACGGAACAGUCGGUUGUCACCAGCUGAUAUUUAGCACCGUUCACGGUCUCUAUAAAGAACGCUACGCAUUCAGAGAACAUCUGACAGACGUGGUAGUCCACCACUUACUGACGGAGGA